GGGGGAUUAGCUCAGUUGGCUUAGAGCACCUGCCUUGCACGCAGGGGGUCAAGGGUUCGAGUCCCUUAUUCUCCACCA
rnacentral:tRNA from 1 species